GAUGAACGCUGGCGGCGCGCCUAACACAUGCAAGUCGAACGAUUAAAGCACCUUCGGGUGUGUAUAAAGUGGCGAACGGCUGAGUAACACGUGGGCAACCUGCCCCUUUCAUUGGGAUAGCCACGGGAAACCGUGGAUAAUACCGAAUACUUCGAGACUUCCGCAUGGAAGACUCGAGAAAGCUCCGGCGGAGAGGGAUGGGCCCGCGGCCUGUUAGCUUGUUGGUGGGGUAACGGCCUACCAAGGCAAUGAUGGGUAGCUGGGUUGAGAGACCGACCAGCCAGAUGGGGAAGGGGACACGGCCCAGACCCCUACGGGAGGCAGGAGGGGGGAAUCUGGCAAAAGGGGCGAAAGCCGGAGGCAGGGACGCCGGGGGGGGGAGGAAGGCCUUGGGGUGGAAAACCGCUUUCGGCGGGGACGGGGGGAAAGUGACGGUACCGGCAGAAGAAGCCCCGGCUAACUACGU
rnacentral:rRNA from 1 species